rnacentral:rRNA from 1 species
UACGGGGGGGGCAAGCGUUGUUCGGAAUUACUGGGCGUAAAGGGCUCGUAGGCGGCCAACUAAGUCAGACGUGAAAUCCCUCGGCUUAACCGGGGAACUGCGUCUGAUACUGGAUGGCUUGAGUGUGGGAGAGGGAUGCGGAAUUCCAGGUGUAGCGGUGAAAUGCGUAGAUAUCGUAAGGAAGACCAGUGGCGAAGGCGGGUCUCUGGACAGUUCCUGACGCUCAGGCACGAAAGCGUGGGGAGCAAACAGG